GGCCUCGUAGCUCAGCUGGUAGGGCGUGAGCUGUACAAAAGCGUAGGCGGCGUCCAUGCGUGGGUUCCAAUCCCACCGAGGGUA
rnacentral:tRNA from 1 species